AACGCUGGCGGAAUGCUUUACACAUGCAAGUCGAACGGCAGCACGGAGAGCUUGCUCUCUGGUGGCGAGUGGCGAACGGGUGAGUAAUAUAUCGGAACGUGUCCAAUAAUGGGGGAUAACGAGUCGAAAGAUUCGCUAAUACCGCAUACGCCCUACGGGGGAAAGCAGGGGAUCGUAAGACCUUGCGUUAAUGGAGCGGCCGAUAUCUGAUUAGCUAGUUGGUGAGGUAAAGGCUCACCAAGGCGACGAUCAGUAGCUGGUUUGAGAGAACGACCAGCCACACUGGAACUGAGACACGGUCCAGACUCCUACGGGAGGCAGCAGUGGGGAAUUUUGGACAAUGGGGGCAACCCUGAUCCAGCCAUUCCGCGUGAGUGAAGAAGGCCUUCGGGUUGUAAAGCUCUUUCGCAAGGGAAGAAAACUUAUGAUCGAAUAAAUCAUGAGGUUGACGGUACCUUGAUAAGAAGCACCGGCUAACUACGUGCCAGCAGCCGCGGUAAUACGUAGGGUGCGAGCGUUAAUCGGAAUUACUGGGCGUAAAGCGUGCGCAGGCGGUUUUGUAAGUCGGAUGUGAAAUCCCCGGGCUCAACCUGGGAACUGCGUUCGAAACUGCAAGGCUAGAGUGUGUCAGAGGGGGGUAGAAUUCCACGUGUAGCAGUGAAAUGCGUAGAGAUGUGGAGGAAUACCAAUGGCGAAGCAGCCCCCUGGGAUAACACUGACGCUCAUGCACGAAAGCGUGGGGAGCAAACACGAUUAGAUACCCUGGUAGUCCACGCCCUAAACGAUGUCAACUAGUUGUUGGUAGAGUAAAAUCUAUGAGUAACGUAGCUAACGCGUGAAGUUGACCGCCUGGGGAGUACGGUCGCAAGAUUAAAACUCAAAGGAAUUGACGGGGGCCCGCACAAGCGGUGGAUUAUGUGGAUUAAUUCGAUGCAACGCGAAAAACCUUACCUGGCCUUGACAUGUACCGAAUUGAGCAGAGAUGUUCAAGUGCUCGAAAGAGAACGGUAACACAGGUGCUGCAUGGCUGUCGUCAGCUCGUGUCGUGAGAUGUUGGGUUAAGUCCCGCAACGAGCGCAACCCUUGCCAUUAAUUGCCAUCAUUUAGUUGGGCACUUUAAUGGGACUGCCGGUGACAAACCGGAGGAAGGUGGGGAUGACGUCAAGUCCUCAUGGCCCUUAUGGCCAGGGCUUCACACGUAAUACAAUGGUCGGUACAGAGGGUUGCCAACCCGCGAGGGGGAGCCAAUCCCAGAAAGCCGAUCGUAGUCCGGAUUGUAGUCUGCAACUCGACUGCAUGAAGUCGGAAUCGCUAGUAAUCGCGGAUCAGCAUGUCGCGGUGAAUACGUUCCCGGGCCUUGUACACACCGCCCGUCACACCACGAAAGUCGGCAACACCCGAAGCCGGGGGCCCAACCGCAAGGAGGGACCCGUCGAAGGUGGGGUCGGUGAUUGGGGUGAAGUCAUAACAAGGUAGCCGUA
rnacentral:rRNA from 1 species